UACAGAGGGUGCAAGCGUUGUUCGGAAUUACUGGGCGUAAAGGGCGCGUAGGCGGCCUGCUAAGUCGAACGUGAAAUCCCCGGGCUCAACCCGGGAACUGCGUCCGAUACUGGCAGGCUUGAAUCCGGGAGAGGGAUGCGGAAUUCUAGGUGUAGCGGUGAAAUGCGUAGAUAUCUGGAGGAACACCGGUGGCGAAGGCGGCAUCCUGGACCGGCAUUGACACUAAAGCGCGAAAGCCAGGGGAGCAAACGGG
rnacentral:rRNA from 1 species